UCCCUAAUGGCUCAUUGGUAAAGAAUCUGCCUGCAAAGCGGGAGACCCAGGUUCGAUCCCUGGGUUGGGAA
rnacentral:tRNA from 1 species